AGAAGCACCGGCUAACUCCGUGCCAGCAGCCGCGGUAAUACGGAGGGUGCAAGCGUUAAUCGGAAUUACUGGGCGUAAAGCGCACGCAGGCGGUUUGUUAAGUCAGAUGUGAAAUCCCCGGGCUCAACCUGGGAACUGCAUCUGAUACUGGCAAGCUUGAGUCUCGUAGAGGGGGGUAGAAUUCCAGGUGUAGCGGUGAAAUGCGUAGAGAUCUGGAGGAAUACCGGUGGCGAAGGCGGCCCCCUGGACGAAGACUGACGCUCAGGUGCGAAAGCGUGGGGAGCAAACAGGAUUA
rnacentral:rRNA from 1 species